rnacentral:lncRNA from 1 species
GUAGACUUAACUUUCUUAAAAUUCAAUAAUCCAACUAAUAACUUACCUCACUUGCUUACACCUCCAGAAUCGGUCCCAUUCAUCUCCGUAAGUCAUAAAUCAUGUACACAAACUACGGAAAGAGCUAAAAUAAAAAAGUUCACAAAAUGACCAAAAGGGUCAUUACAAAACUUGGCCCAUUAAGAAAAUAAUUAUUGAGCUGAAUAUUGUAGAACACUAUUCCUAUUAAUUGAUAUUUAAUAACCCCC